rnacentral:lncRNA from 1 species
AAAAGCAUCUUUGUCCCUUUUUGGACCAAGUCCAAUACUCCACGCUCUUCCUUCCCUAUUUCUCCAAAUAUAAAAUAGAUGUUAUGUGGGGAGUAAUGAGCCCCAUUCAUUAUCAUGUCUCCCACAUCACUCUAGUUUAGCUUCUGUUUUCUUAUUCCCUAGUCAUUCGUGGGUAUAAUUUUCUCUUUCUUUUUGCUUUUUUAAAAAGAUUUAUGAUUUGGAAUUAUUCUGGGUUUUGCAGAAGACAGGAGCCAUCGUUGAUUGAUGCAGUAUAGAUAUUACUUUUUAUUACAGAGGUGUAAGUGCACUGGAUUCUCUUGAUUUGCUGUUUUUAAGCAUAUGUUGAAAAUCAGAGGAAUUGUGUCUGUAUCUUCGACCUCUUGAGUUUUGUGGUUUAAUUAAUAAUUUGUUUCAUUAUGGGAUCUAUAGCAGUAUAUAAGAACUCAAAUCCAUACGAAACAAAUAUCAUUUCCUCUUUUAUUUUUUGUUUUGAAAUUUUUUUCUGUUUUAGGUUCGGAAAGGA